CGCAUGAGAGCCCUUGUCUCAUGCUACACGACUACUUCGGCGUCGUUUCAGUCAGCGGUUGGUUUCAGACUCGUACAGCUGACGCUAAGCUCGAAACUUCGUGGUGCAACCAAAAAAGGUAAACAUGGCAGUUCGAAAGAGCUUCGCUGCGCUAAUGAUGAUGGCGUCCUGUGGUGUGACCAUCGCAUACAACAGAGCAUGCGAUUUCGGCGGAUUGGACUUGGAUGGUGCUCUGGACAAAGUUUGGUCUGCUGCCCCGGUACCACAUGCCAAAUGAUCGAGGAUUUCGGAGCGCGUUCAGCGGUAUUGAAACCGGUACUCUCAAUAUCACCGGACUUGACAAGAUCCAGCGGUUUGGACCGAUCCAGCCUUAUUGUGUCAAUGGCACCCGGCUAAUCAGCGUGGAUCUCAUUGACCGAGGCGACGCCAUGCUGACCAUGCCCUGGAGGGCAUGCUCAGGACAAGAAGGAACGCUGAACUUCCGCACCGAACUUUCACGCUUCACGCUUAUUCUUCGAGUCGAAGCCGCCGGUCUGCACCAAGAAGCCACUCUCGCUUACAAAGGACCAAUUUUUCCUGUGAUCAUCCUAGAGCCGCAAAUUUACAUCGAUGGCGCCGGGAAUGUAUGGAGGGUAGCUUCCAUGAGCCUCAGCAAGCUUUUGCCGGCCCUCACAGAGAAAGUGUGGGUUGACUUCUUCCUCGCCUAUUUCCGUGGGGUCCUACGUUAUGCCUUGCGGGAUGCCUUCCAUUAACAGUAAUCUGCGCUUCGAAGGGUUCAUAACAUGCUUGAAUAACCUGGCCCUCACAACCAUCUCCAUAUUCGGCUAUUCAGUAAUAAAGCUUAAGCAACAGA